rnacentral:rRNA from 1 species
UACGUAGGGUGCGAGCGUUGUCCGGAUUUAUUGGGCGUAAAGGGUGCGUAGGCGGCCUGACAAGUCUGAUGUGAAAUCCCUGGGCUCAACCCAGGGCCUGCAUCGGAAACUGUCGGGCUUGAGUAUGGGAGAGGUGAGUGGAAUUUCCGGUGUAGCGGUGAAAUGCGUAGAUAUCGGAAGGAACACCUGUGGCGAAAAACGGCUCACUGGACCAUUACUGACGCUGAGGCACGAAAGCUAGGGGAGCAAACAGG